UGUUAUUUUCUAGAUGUGUAGAUUUGUAUUCAUCCCAUCUUGCAAGUUAUCUCGUCAUUGUUUUUGACGGUCAGAUCUGCUCAGAACUGGCACCGACAGCCCUGCCUACCCGCUCUGGUCCUGUGGUGGGGACCUGGGCCUGGAGCCUUCUCCCGGUCAGGCACAGCAAGACGUCUCUAACGGACGACCUAUGCGCCCCCGAUUGUCACGUGCGUGGGCCCUUUCACGGGGCCCCUAGGAAGUGUGUUUCCCGAGAGUCUCCACUGACACGUCUGAGUCAGAAUCCGAGUUCACUUGUUUGACUCUGUAUCUCCCAGUGCAGGCAGAGGAUGGUGACGUAAACAAGCGUGCAGUGUCCGACUUCCGGGAGCAGCUGCUGGCCUGCGCCGGGGUGGAAGCAGAGCGCGUGGUGGAGUUUUCCUGCGGUCACGUGAUCCCGCCAGACAACAUCCUGCCCCUGGUCCUCUGUGGCGGGCCCACCGAGCAGCAGCUGGAGUUCACCUACCAGAAGAGAGAGCUGCCUGCUAUGGUGGGUGCAGCUGGGGGCUCCGGCAGUGCGGGCAUUGGGGAAGUUGGCACUGAGGCACCCGUGCAGCUGGCACUGGAUGAAUGGCAUCUCCAGGUGCUCCUCGGGGAAGGCGUGGGCUGCCCGCCCUUUAGCCACUACGUGCUCUCCCUCAGCCCUCCAGGUGUCCCUUUAGGACCCAGUGAGUGAGGAGGCUGCCCGUUCUUAGCCCCAGGCAGGGUGCAGGUCUGGGACGCGUCUCCAGCCACCUACUACGUGGGAACAGUGCCUCCCUUGUCGUGGAUGCUGUCAGGACGCAGGAGCUGGGGCACUCGGGGGCCCGGCUUCUCUUUUCGGUGCUGGUGUUGGGACUUGUGUCUGGAGGACAGGCUGGCACACCCGCCUUCCGAUUCCUCUCGGGGCCGGGUGGCCGCUGUCCUCCCGGGCCCAGGCAUGUCCUGGGUAGAGCUCUGCCUCGGCUUGGAGCCCGGGGCGUGUG
rnacentral:lncRNA from 1 species